rnacentral:lncRNA from 1 species
UCGUCUGUCUUUCCUCCCUGUGUUUGUUUGCCCUCCUCUGUCCCUCCGUCUCUUUCCUCUCCUUGCUUUCUGUGGUUUUCUGCAAUGAUGAGACAGGCACCGACAGCCCGAAAGACCACAACUCGACGGCCCAAGCCUACUCGCCCAGCCAGUACUGGGGUGGCUGGGCCCAGUAGCUCCUUGGGCCCCUCUGGAUCAGCAUCAGCCGGUGAACUGAGCAGCAGUGAGCCCAGCACCCCAGCUCAGACUCCGCUGGCAGCACCCAUCAUCCCCACACCGGCCCUCACCUCUCCUGGAGCAGCACCCCCACUUCCUUCUCCCUCUAAGGUAAGGAGGAGUCAAGGCACCUCUGC